rnacentral:rRNA from 1 species
UGGGGAAUAUUGCACAAUGGGCGCAAGCCUGAUGCAGCCAUGCCGCGUGUAUGAAGAAGGCCUUCGGGUUGUAAAGUACUUUCAGCGGGGAGGAAGGUGUUGAGGCUAAUAACCUCAGCAAUUGACGUUACCCGCAGAAGAAGCACCGGCUAACUCAGUGCCAGCAGCCGCGGUAAUACGGAGGGUGCAAGCGUUAAUCGGAAUUACUGGGCGUAAAGCGCACGCAGGCGGUCUGUCAAGUCGGAUGUGAAAUCCCCGGGCUCAACCUGGGAACUGCAUUCGAAACUGGCAGGCUAGAGUCUUGUAGAGGGGGGUAGAAUUCCAGGUGUAGCGGUGAAAUGCGUAGAGAUCUGGAGGAAUACCGGUGGCGAAGGCGGCCCCCUGGACAAAGACUGACGCUCAGGUGCGAAAGCGUGGGGAGCAAACA